rnacentral:rRNA from 1 species
AUUGAACGCUGGCGGCAGGCCUAACACAUGCAAGUCGAACGAGUGGCGGACGGGUGAGUAAUGUCUGGGAAACUGCCCGAUGGAGGGGGAUAACUACUGGAAACGGUAGCUAAUACCGCAUACCAUCAGAAGUGCCCAGAUGGGAUUAGCUAGUUGGUGGGGUAACGGCGCACCCAGGCGACGAUCCCUAGCUGGUCUGAGAGGAGGACCAGCCACACUGGAACUGAUACACGGUCCAGACGCCUACGGGAGGCAGCAGUGGGGAAUAUUGCACAAUGGGCGGAAGCCUGAUGCAGCCAUGCCGCGUGUAUGAAGAAGGCCUUCGGGUUGUAAAGUACUGUCAGCAGGGAGGCGUUACCCGCAGAAGAAGCACCGGCUAACUCCGUGCCAGCAGCCGCGGUAAUUC